AAAAAAAAGAAACGUAUUGAUCAUCACAAUUUCGUAUCUAAAUCACCUACCGCCUUCUCCUCCAUCUACAAUGGCCUCACCACGUUCUCCACCACCACCAUUAACCCUCGCCGUCACAUAUUCUCCCUAAUUUAAACAAAUGGCGCUCAAUCAACUGAAUUGCAAAGAAUAAACACACACUUUACAAAUGAGUUGCUCAUUCUUCGGUGUUUUUCAUGAUCUGAAAUCUUUUCCUUCUCCUCCGAUUGAUGGAUUGACGUUCUGGUCCCCGACGGUAGUACUACCAGUCCUUGUACAGCAGAAGAUAUUUUUAAAGAUUAUAGCGGUCGUCAUGGCGGGAUAGUUCGUGCUUUAGUUCAUGUGCACAUUUGCUUCUAUUCUUUGAGGUGGAUUUUUCCAAUUCAGUUGAUAAUUCCAGGGAUAUUUCUAAAGGUGUCAAUUUGGCUAUGUUGUUCCUGUAGUAAUUGAUGUUUCAGUUCAACGAUACACUAAGUUAGUCCGAUUGUACUCAACAAUUCAUAAAAUGCCAGGUCAUACUCACAAAUGCAACAACAAUGCCAUUUGAAUUCAAAUUCGAUAUCCCAUUUGGUGUAUCUCCUAAGAUUCUGGACCCUGUAUGUCAUCCUAUUCGUUGCUGUGUGUCUGUGCAUGAUGUGUGUUGGCCUUCUGUUGGGACUGGGAGGGUAAACAAGGGAUCAAAUUUAUAUAUUAUCAUGAUGCUAAUAUUGAUGACAAGAUAGAGAACCAAGAUCAGUCAAAUAAGAGGUGUAUUCACAUGAUUAUAUUAAGUAAUCCUUUAAUAGUGAAAAACUGUUUACGAGUUGAAGUAUCUGUCAUGAUUGAGAGUGGUGGAGUUUCACAUAGCAUGCUGCUUUCAGAGGUCCAUUAUAUGUGACAAUGGAAAAGGUGAUGGAUGCAUUCUCUAGGGCUCGUGAAAUCUGCAUAUUUGUUCUGACCCUAAUAUUGCUUCGAGUGAGAUCAUGGUCAGAGUUAGUCGAUCCCAAUCUGAAUCUGAUGUGGCAAGUACCUCAAACUACAUGUGGUCUAGUCAAUUCUUCC